rnacentral:rRNA from 1 species
AGUGAACGCUGGCGGUAGGCCUAACACAUGCAAGUCGAACGGCAGCACAGUAAGAGCUUGCUCUUACGGGUGGCGAGUGGCGGACGGGUGAGGAAUACAUCGGAAUCUACUUUUUCGUGGGGGAUAACGUAGGGAAACUUACGCUAAUACCGCAUACAACCUACGGGUGAAAGCAGUGGAUCUUCGGACCUUGGGCGAUUGAAUGAGCCGAUGUCGGAUUAGCUAGUUGGCGGGGUAAAGGCCCACCAAGGCGACGAUCCGUAGCUGGUCUGAGAGGAUGAUCAGCCACACUGGAACUGAGACACGGUCCAGACUCCUACGGGAGGCAGCAGUGGGGAAUAUUGGGCAAUGGGCGCAAGCCUGAUCCAGCCAUACCGCGUGAGUGAAGAAGGCCUUCGGGUUGUAAAGCCCUUUUGUUGGGAAAGAAAAGCAGCAGGUUAAUCCCCCGCUGUUCUGACGGUACCCAAAGAAUAAGCACCGGCUAACUUCGUG